CUUGGUCAUUUAGAGGAAGUAAAAGUCGUAUCAAGGUCUCCGUAGGUGAACCUGCGGAGGGAUCAUUACACAAUAAAAUACGAAGGCCGUUCGCGGCUGGACUAUUUAUUACCCUUGUCUUUUGCGCACUUGUUGUUUCCUGGGCGGGUUCGCUCGCCACCAGGACCACAAUAUAAACCUUUUUUAUGCAGUUGCAAUCAGCGUCAGUAUAACAAAUGUAAAUCAUUUACAACUUUCAACAACGGAUCUCUUGGUUCUGGCAUCGAUGAAGAACGCAGCGAAAUGCGAUACGUAGUGUGAAUUGCAGAAUUCAGUGAAUCAUCGAAUCUUUGAACGCACAUUGCGCCCUUUGGUAUUCCAAAGGGCAUGCCUGUUCGAGCGUCAUUUGUACCCUCAAGCUUUGCUUGGUGUUGGGCGUUUUUGUCUUUGGCCCGCCAAAGACUCGCCUUAAAAUGAUUGGCAGCCGGCCUACUGGUUUCGCAGCGCAGCACAUUUUUGCGCUUGCAAUCAGCAAAAGAGGACGGCAAUCCAUCAAGACUCCUUCUCACGUUUGACCUCGGAUCAGGUAGGGAUACCCGCUGAACUUAAGCAUAUCAAUAAGCGGAGGA
rnacentral:rRNA from 1 species